CUGAUAUAUUCACACUCAGUGACCAGCAGUCAGGAGUUACUGAAUGUGGUUCUUCUGAAGAUGCAGUAGAAGUGGAAGUGUUGUGAGUUUAAAUGCAGUCAGAACAGACCAGGGCUGGUCCACAGCAAUCAAACACUGGCACUGCACUGUUUUCACUGCUUAUGUAACAACAUGUCACAGAAAGUGCUGCCAUACUGGUUGUGCAACACAGUCAAAACUGUGCUUGGUCAGUUCGUCUUUCUUACAGACCGUUCAUUUUUUGUCGUUCUAAUUAUGUAAUUUGUCAUUUUACUUUCCAAAAGACUGAAGGGCCAACCGAUGUUCGGACACUGGUGCUCAGAGGCCUUCUAGUCAUCCUCAGUGACAUCUCCACAGACUUCUACACAACAGCCUUUGACUCUGAUGACUCAUUCUGCCACGUUGACAUUGGGAUCCUCCUCAUUCAGCAUAAAGGUGCUGAGCUCUCAUCAUCCCUCCAUCUCAGUCCAGCCCCAUUGAAGAUCAUCACUGAGGGAGAAGUCGUGAUGGACGACAUUCAAGACCUGCCAAAAGCUAUGUGCAUUAGGCUUGGGCUUACAUAUGCAGCGUAUCUCAACUGUCCCAACUCUGUGAAGAACACAUUCCAGUUCAUCCAACAGGUUCUUCUCACACUGGGCCACUGAACUAAAACCCAGAUUACAAACACUGAAAAAGCAGCUCGCGCUGUAAAUAAAAGCCAGGUCAAGUCUAUCGUAAGAAGGUGUGGCUGCUUUUGGUUUUUCAAAUGUUUAUUUGUUUUUGUUUGUUUUUCCACU